rnacentral:rRNA from 1 species
GACGAACGCUGGCGGCGCGCCUAACACAUGCAAGUCGAACGAGCGAGAGAGACCUUGCUUUCUCGAGCGAGUGGCGAACGGGUGAGUAACGCGUGAGGAACCUGCCCCAAAGAGUGGGACAACAUUUGGAAACGACUGCUUAUACCGCAUAAGCCCACGACCCGGCAUCGGGUCGAGGGAAAAGGAGCAAUCCGCUUUGAGAUGGCCCCGCAUCCGAUUAGCUAGUUGGGGAGGUAACGGCCCACCAAGGCGACGAUCGGUAGCCGGACUGAGAGGUUGAACCGCCACAUUGGGAAUGAGACACAGCCCAGACUCCUACGGGAGGGAGCAGAGGGGAAUAUUGCAGAAUGGGGGCAGACCUGAUGCAGCGACGCCGCGUAGAGGAAGAAGGUGUUCGGAUUGUAAACUCCUGUUGUAGAGGAAGAUAAUGACGGUACUCAACAAGGAAGUGACGGCUAACUACGUG